rnacentral:rRNA from 1 species
CCUACGGGAGGCUGCAGUGGGGAAUAUUGCACAAUGGGCGCAAGCCUGAUGCAGCCAUGCCGCGUGUGUGAAGAAGGCCUUCGGGUCGUAAAGCACUUUCAGCGGGGAGGAAGGCGUUAAGGUUAAUAACCUGGGCGAUUGACGUUACCCGCAGAAGAAGCACCGGCUAACUCCGUGCCAGCAGCCGCGGUAAUACGGAGGGUGCAAGCGUUAAUCGGAAUUACUGGGCGUAAAGCGCACGCAGGCGGUCUGUCAAGUCGGAUGUGAAGUCCCCGGGCUCAACCUGGGAACUGCAUUCGAAACUGGCAGGCUAGAGUCUUGUAGAGGGGGGUAGAAUUCCAGGUGUAGCGGUGAAAUGCGUAGAGAUCUGGAGGAAUACCGGUGGCGAAGGCGGCCCCCUGGACAAAGACUGACGCUCAGGUGCGAAAGCGUGGGGAGCAAACAGGAUUAGAUACCCCGGUAGUC